GCCUCUGUGGACCAUGGAAGUCGCCUCGUCGCUCUCAGGGAUCCUGUAUAUGAUGGAGUACGGAGGAGGUGAGGGUUCGACUCCCUCCGGAGGCU